CCGGAUUGAGAAAAUUUCUCUAACAAUCUCUAAAGUGCUCAUCCGUGUUCAAUUUCCCGUCUGCGAAAUUAAACUUUUCGAGUAUUUUUUUUGCUUCGCAAAGUCCGUCCCCCUCCCAUAUGUAAAAACAAACUUCUUGUAUAAAACUCUAAUGUAGUUUUAUCUCUCGCCAUCCCGCAGCAAAAUUUCAGAGUAAACGUAAAUCAAUUAAGGAGGGUUCAUAGCCGGG